GUGUUCACUUCGGCAGCACAUAUACUAAAAAUGGAACAAUACAUGGCCCCUGCACAAGGGUGACAUGCAAAUUUGUGAAGCAUUCCAGAUUUUU
ensembl:snRNA U6 U6 spliceosomal RNA